rnacentral:rRNA from 1 species
GGACCCGCACAAGCAGCGGAGCAUGUGGUUUAAUUCGAAGCAACGCGAAGAACCUUACCAGGGCUUGACAUCCCUCUGCCCGAUCUAGAGAUAGGUCCUUCCCUUCGGGGACAGAGGAGACAGGUGGUGCAUGGUUGUCGUCAGCUCGUGUCGUGAGAUGUUGGGUUAAGUCCCGCAACGAGCGCAACCCUUGCCUUUAGUUGCUAACAGGUAAUGCUGAGCACUCUAGAGGGACUGCCGAUGACAAAUCGGAGGAAGGUGGGGAUGACGUCAAAUCAUCAUGCCCUUUAUGUCCUGGGCUACACACGUGCUACAAUGGUCGGUACAACGAGUAGCCACCUAGCGAUAGGGAGCCAAUCUCUAAAAGCCGAUCCCAGUUCGGAUUGCAGGCUGCAACUCGCCUGCAUGAAGCCGGAGUUGCUAGUAAUCGCGGAUCAGCAUGCCGCGGUGAAUGCGUUCCCGGGUCUU